UUUUCUUCAGUAAAGUUGGAGCCAUCGUCAUCGGAAAUUCGGUCAUCCUUCUCAGAUUCAAUAUGGUCUCUAUCUGGAAUAACGUCUUCACAAGGCUCAUUACUUUUCGAAGUCGGUAAUUCCUUCAAUUUGCUGAGCUCUUUCCUGCACGAUCCACAAAUUCGCAUCCGUUUUGAUAGCGUAGGGAAUUUUGAUAUUAAGCCGUCAGAAAGCCGUCGUGUAUCUGAAGAAACGUGGUUUUUUUUGUUGAAGGGAUUAAAGCAAAAAGAAGCAAAAAUUUCUUUAUCAAGUUUAGCCUUUUUAUGAGCCAUAGCUACUGAAAAUAUUAAUUAUGUAAAUAACACAGUCUUUAUUUUAACGCUGUUUCUAAAAAAGUGGUCUUCAAAAUGACCAUACACUGCUGUUGCGCGAGUAGGUAUGAAUAUCUAUUGCGAAAAGGUUUGGACGAAUCUGCUGUGGUUAGGUACAAAGAAAAAUCUGAAUCAUCCUUAGCUACCGGAAAAUCCCAUAUUCUUCAUACCUUUUAAAUAUUGUGCUAGUAGGUAUGCAAAUCUAAUACUCAAAAUUCUGCAAAGCUAUUAAUAAAGAGUUUGGAUGCACAAAAUCGAGUACCUGCUGUGUUAGACUACGAAAAAUCUUAAUCAUCCUUAACUACGGGAAUGGCAGUAUCGAGGGUAUGAAACUUUGGUUAGGCGUGUUAUAUACCGUUGGAAAGGUAAUUGUAUAUACCUUCUCAUAUAAGUUUUAUUUUCAGGUUUCCGAGACACUUACACAAUAAUACGAAAAAAAGAAGACAAUAGGUCAUAUAUUAAAAAUUAAAAAAACCGCUGUUUCGAGUUACUAAACGCUAAUUUUGAUUGAUACACAAGUUGCAUCCCACUAAGCGACCACAAAGCUCUUAAAGAAAAAUACCUAAGCUUUCUUUUGAGCAAAAAAAAAAAAAAA